UUACAGCCAUAUCACGUUGAAACAGUGGUUCCACUACAACCACCAAAGUUAAGCAACAUUGAGCCAGGUCAGUACUGAGAUGGGUGAUUACUUCAGAAAAUCAGGUGCUGCAAG